ACGAACGCUGGCGGCGUGCCUCAUACAUGCAAGUCGCACGCUUCUUUCCUCCCGAGUGCUUGCACUCAAUUGGAAAGGGGAGUGGCGGACGGGUGAGUAACACGUGGGUAACCUACCCAUCAGAGGGGGAUAACACUUGGAAACAGGUGCUAAUACCGCAUAACAGUUUAUGCCGCAUGGCAUAAGAGUGAAAGGCGCUUUCGGGUGUCGCUGAUGGAUGGACCCGCGGUGCAUUAGCUAGUUGGUGAGGUAACGGCUCACCAAGGCCACGAUGCAUAGCCGACCUGAGAGGGUGAUCGGCCACACUGGGACUGAGACACGGCCCAGACUCCUACGGGAGGCAGCAGUAGGGAAUCUUCGGCAAUGGACGAAAGUCUGACCGAGCAACGCCGCGUGAGUGAAGAAGGUUUUCGGAUCGUAAAACUCUGUUGUUAGAGAAGAACAAGGACGUUAGUAACUGAACGUCCCCUGACGGUAUCUAACCAGAAAGCCACGGCUAACUACGUG
rnacentral:rRNA from 1 species